rnacentral:rRNA from 1 species
UAGCGGAGCGUGUGGUUUAAUUCGAUGCAACACGAAGAACCUUACCAGGGCUUGACAUGUUGGAAGUAGUGAAACGAAAGUCGAACGAACUGUUAAAUCAGUAACCUUCACAGGUGCUGCAUGGCUGUCGUCAGCUCGUGCCGUGAGGUGUCGGGUUAAGUCCCAUAACGAGCGCAACCCCUGUUGCCAGUUAAUUUCUCUGGCGAGACUGCCCCGCAAAACGGGGAGGAAGGCGGGGAUGACGUCAAGUCAGUAUGGCCCUUACGCCCUGGGCCACACACACGCUACAAUGGAUGGUACAGCAGGUUGCAAUGGAGCGAUCCGGAGCUAAUCCUUAAAACCAUCCUCAGUUCGGAUUGCAGGCUGAAAUUCGCCUGCAUGAAGUCGGAGUUGCUAGUAACCGCAUAA